rnacentral:rRNA from 1 species
UACAGAGGGUGCGAGCGUUGUCCGGAAUCACUGGGCGUAAAGGGCGCGUAGGUGGCCCGACAAGUCUGUGGUGAAAGCUCGACGCUCAACGUCGAGUCGGCCAUAGAUACUGUUGGGCUGGAGCACUGUAGAGGCUCAUGGAAUUCCGGGUGUAGCGGUGGAAUGCGUAGAGAUCCGGAAGAACACCGGUGGCGAAGGCGGCAUCCUGGACCGACACUGACACUGAGGAGCGAAAGCCAGGGGAGCAAACGGG